rnacentral:rRNA from 1 species
AACGCGAAGAACCUUACCUAGUCUUGACAUCCCAUUGGCCGGCACGUAAUGGUGCCUUUCCUUCGGGACAAUGGUGACAGGUGGUGCAUGGUUGUCGUCAGCUCGUGUCGUGAGAUGUUGGGUUAAGUCCCGCAACGAGCGCAACCCCUAUCUUUAGUAGCCAGCAGGUUAAGCUGGGCACUCUAGAGAGACUGCCAGGGAUAACCUGGAGGAAGGCGGGGAUGACGUCAAAUCAUCAUGCCCCUUAUGACUAGGGCUACACACGUGCUACAAUGGCGUAAACAAAGGGAGGCGAAGCCGUGAGGUGGAGCGAAUCCCAAAAAUAACGUCUCAGUUCGGAUUGUAGUCUGCAACUCGACUACAUGAAGCUGGAAUCGCUAGUAAUCGCGAAUCAGAAUGUCGCGGUGAAUACGUUCCGGGUCUUGUACACACCG